UGCCAGACUCCUACGGGAGGCAGCAGUGGGGAAUAUUGCACAAUGGGGGAAACCCUGAUGCAGCGACGCCGCGUGAGCGAUGAAGUAUUUCGGUAUGUAAAGCUCUAUCAGCAGGGAAGAAAAUGACGGUACCUGACUAAGAAGCCCCGGCUAACUACGUGCCAGCAGCCGCGGUAAUACGUAGGGGGCAAGCGUUAUCCGGAUUUACUGGGUGUAAAGGGAGCGUAGACGGCAUGGCAAGUCAGAUGUGAAAGCCCGGGGCUCAACCCCGGGACUGCAUUUGAAACUGUCAGGCUGGAGUGCAGGAGAGGUAAGUGGAAUUCCUAGUGUAGCGGUGAAAUGCGUAGAUAUUAGGAGGAACACCAGUGGCGAAGGCGGCUUACUGGACUGUAACUGACGUUGAGGCUCGAAAGCGUGGGGAGCAAACAGGAUUAGAUACCCCGGUAAU
rnacentral:rRNA from 1 species